GCGUUCGUAGUAUAGCCUGGCUAGUACUUCAGCCUGCCACGUUGAUGGCCCGGGUUCGAAUCCCGGCGAACGCACCA
rnacentral:tRNA from 1 species